rfam:Trichinella britovi scaffold747s, whole genome shotgun sequence.
ACUCUUGCUCUCUUGCAUAACGAACAAAUCUUUCGCCUUUUACUAAAGAUUUCCGUGCAAAAGAGUAGCUAAGAGAUCAUAUAGCAAAAUUUUUGUAGCCCAACCGGCAAUGCUAUUACAUUGAA